rnacentral:rRNA from 1 species
GAUCAUGGCUCAGGAUGAACGCUAGCGGCAGGCUUAACACAUGCAAGUCGAGGUGCAGCAUAAUGGAUAGCAAUAUCUAUGGUGGCGACCGGCGCACGGGUGCGUAACGCGUAUGCAACCUACCUUUAACAGGGGGAUAACACUGAGAAAUUGGUACUAAUACCCCAUAAUAUCAUAGAAGGCAUCUUUUAUGGUUGAAAAUUCCGAUGGUUAGAUAUGGGCAUGCG